rnacentral:rRNA from 1 species
CGCCAGACUCCUACGGGAGGCAGCAGUGGGGAAUAUUGCACAAUGGGGGAAACCCUGAUGCAGCGACGCCGCGUGAGUGAAGAAGUAUUUCGGUAUGUAAAGCUCUAUCAGCAGGGAAGAAGUUGACGGUACCUGAGUAAGAAGCCCCGGCUAACUACGUGCCAGCAGCCGCGGUAAUACGUAGGGGGCAAGCGUUAUCCGGAUUUACUGGGUGUAAAGGGAGCGUAGACGGCAGUGCAAGUCUGAAGUGAAAGCCCCGGGCUUAACCCGGGAACUGCUUUGGAAACUGUACGGCUGGAGUGCUGGAGAGGUAAGCGGAAUUCCUAGUGUAGCGGUGAAAUGCGUAGAUAUUAGGAGGAACACCAGUGGCGAAGGCGGCUUACUGGACAGUAACUGACGUUGAGGCUCGAAAGCGUGGGGAGCAAACAGGAUUAGAUACCCUCGUAA